AUUGAACGCUGGCGGCAGGCUUAACACAUGCAAGUCGAGCGAGCGGAGGACGGGUGAGUAAUGUCUGGGAAACUGCCUGAUGGCGGGGGAUAACUACUGGAAACGGUAGCUAAUACCGCAUACCAUCAGAUGUGCCCAGAUGGGAUUAGCUAGUAGGUGGGGUAAUGGCUCAACUAGGCGACGAUCCCUAGCUGGUCGGAGAGGAUGCACAGCCACACUGGACCGGAGACACGGGCCAGACUCCUGCGGUAGGCAGCAGUGGGGAAUAUUGCACAAUGGGCGCAAGCCUGAUGCAGCGAUGCCGCGUGUGUGAAGAAGGCCUUCGGGUUGUAGAGCACUUUCAGCGAGGAGGCGUUACUCGCAGAAGAAGCACCGGCUAACGCCGUGCCAGCGGCCGCGGUAAUAC
rnacentral:rRNA from 1 species